GAGAGAGAGAGAGAGAGAGAGAGAGAGAGAGAGAAUAAACAAAUAAAUACAUCUUCCAAACAAGACAAUGGAACAAUGGAAUACAAUAAACACAAGAGAAACAUAACAACAAAAACAAGCACCGUUAGAAAAGAUGAAAAGCAACCCGCGCUUACACAACUUCAUUUCAUCGCUAGCAGCAUCAGCAGGAGUCUCUAACCAGGAACAAAUCAGCGAGUGUUUCUUGUCUUGUAAUCUGACAGGCCAGGACGGUGCGAGGACGAGGACAGGAGACGCAGCCAGUGCAGAAUGGAGGAGAGAGAGGGACAUCCCGCAGACCUCGAGGACAAGAGAGACAGACUGCGAGAGGCGAUUCUGUGGCAACGCAUGAAGGAAACUCAUGACGCGAAGGUGGCGGAGAAGCUGGACGUGUUGGCAGCAUUGAUGGAAACCUACCCGGGCUUCAGUGUUGGCGGUUUGUUUGUCAUCACUAAGAGGAACCUGGUCGGGCUUGCGAGUUUCAUGGCGACCUACCUGGUGAUUCUUCUGCAGUUCCAUAUGGGAGAUCAAUGAAGAGAGUGAGGAGGAGGAGGAGCAGCAGCAGCAGCAGGAGGAAUGAUAAUGUCAAUAAAAGGAAAAGGUCG